AAUGAAGCGAAACGGCACUGUGCAUAGCAAAAAUAAACAAAGCAUGACACAACUAUUUGUCGUUUUUAUUUUAAGCGACGCGUGAUUAUUAUAUCACGCCACAAGUCGCAUUGUGUUUUGCUUCAAAUAUUAGGUGUCAGAAUCAUAUAACGCAAUUAAACAUUCGCGAGAAUUAUGGCGUUAACGGAUUCUGCAUAGAGGUGACAUGUAAGUGUUUUAUUUAUCUCUUGCGCACGAGUUACUAUUUCGUGCGCACGAGAUACUAUUUCGUGCGCACGAGUUACUAAGUUGUGCGCACAAGUUACUAAGUCGUGCGCACGAGAUAAUAAAGUGGUGUGCUUGGGAUACUAUGCCGUACGCACAAAGUACUUAGUCGUGUGCACAAGAUAAUUAAGUCGUGUGCAAAAGAUACUAUGUCGUGUACACGAUCUUCUAAGUCGUGCACAUGAGAUAAUUAAAUUAUGUGUUCAUGAGAUAUUAUGGCGUUCGCACGAAAUAUCAUACCGUGCGCACGUGUAACUAAGUCGUGCGCACGAGAUAAUUAAAUGUUGGGCACGAGUUACCUUGUGCUGCCAACGAGAGAAUUGAGUGGUGCACACGAGGUUAUUAACCAAUUAAAAACACUAUAAUUAUAAAAAAAUAAACUUAGAAAAUACCUGGUUAAAGUUUGGCAUGUAACAUUUAUCUUGUAUUCACUUGGACCUUGAUACAUGCCUUUAGGUUCAUAUCACUUUUAAGUUCCAUAAAUAAGACAAUAAUUUUGACUACGUUAUGGCCCUUUUCGUUUACCAUCCUGUGAUAGGGUUGAUCAGUGCGUACGUACCUACGGCCUGUUAACCUUGUCUAUACGAUAAUGAUUAAACCCUGGUUUAUUUUUUUUCAACAUAAUUUAUUUAUUUUGCUAGGGACGUUCCCCUUGGCCAGUAGAUGACCUCUUUUAAUGUUUGAGGUCAAAGGUAAUUGUGACCAUAACACAGUUUAUAUCCCCUAGUAUGGACAUUGCACCUGUUCCGUACAUUACACCUAAAGAUUUUGAGGUCAUUGGGGUCAAAAGUCAGGGUCACAAUGACACUUUAUGUAAAAUCAUUGUCCAAUCAAUAAUUUCAGAAGGAAUAAGCCAUGCGUUUCGCAACUUGAUAGGAACAUUGCUCUUAGUGUCCUAGUGCCUUUGUGGCCACUAGGUCAAACGUCAAGGGCACAGAGACACAUAAUUUACAAUUCUUGUCAAAUCAGUAACUCGAGAAUAAAUAAGCCAUUGUUAAUGUUAAUUGAUAGGAAUAUUACUCAAUGUAAGAAAAUGACCACUACUGACUUUGAGGUCAUAAAGCCAAAAGUCCUGGUCACAGUGAAAAUUACUAAGCAUAAAUUUGUAUAUAUGCCACUGUGACAGGUGAAGAAGGGGCACCAUUGUCCCAUGGCAUAUUUCUAGUUAACUAAAAAAAAUCAUGUAUACAGUGUAAUCUGAUUGGUAUAUUAUGUUCUGUUGUGAUUGUCUAUUGUGAUCUCGAUCCCAUCACAUAGUAACUUGUGCCAAAGAUUAUCUCGAGCGCACGGAUUAGUAACUCAUGCGAACAACUUAAUUAUCUUGUGCUUGCGACAUAAUAUCUUAUCCACACGACUAUGUAACUUAUGUGCACGACAUAGAAUCUCGGGCGCACGAAAUAAAAAAGAGCACACGCUUGUCACCUCUGUGCUACCGUAGGAUUAUGAAGAAUAGCCUUUCUCAAGUGUCUUUCAAGUGUUAUUGAUAAAAUUUGUAAAAAAAACAUUCAUGUAUUGUUUUCAAUAACAAUCGUUAAACAGACAGGGAGAAAGCAUAUCUUAAAUAUUGUAUCGUAUUUGCUGCAGAAAAAUAUUUCAUUUAUGACUCAUUGCUGUACCAGUCAGCUCAUUUGCAUAAUGUUAUCAAAUGCAUCUAAAUGCACUAUGCAUAACAUGUUCUCAAAAAGGUAAGUUGAAAUCAAGUUGUGGGUAAUCAACCAGGCAUAUCUCAUUUUCAAAUAAACUAGGACAAUAAACAGGUAAUAAAGUGUAUAAAAGCUAUAUAUAUCCUGCAAAAAAUAUUGUUCGAAUUUUAAAAGAAAAUUACUUCCAAAAUACUUGUAUGAAAGAAAUAUAGUUGUAAAUCGUCUUAGGAGCAAAAACGGACGCACACGGAUAAAACCCUACUUUUUGUUUAGGUACAAUAUUCAUGAAUGUUAUAUAAAAGAGACAUUAUAAAUAUUUUUAUAUGUAUUAUUUGUUGAUGCAUAACGAGAUGCAUGUAAUUGUAGAAGUUAAAUAAAAAAAAUCUUCUUCUUUUUCAUUAUAUGUCGCAACUUUUUUGAGGAAUUCACUAUAUGAGUAUAAAACAAUAUAAUUUUACUGUUUGUAAAUAUUAUUCUUGAUUUAAUGAGUCGGUAAAACUGUUAAAAAUACUCCAACAAUAAUUUAAUUUAAUGGCCUGUUAUGCCUCUCAAAUGCUACCAUUUUCAUUUCUCUAAAAAACAAAACUUAUUAUUCUUGAGAUCUUUAGCUUUGUUGGCAAUUCGUAUAAUUAUAGUGAAUUAGUAUAUAUCGUAUGGAAGUCAAAAUACAAAUACUACAUUGAACUUUCUUUAUGGCUCAUAAAUGCACAUUCAGUGCUCCUUUCCUCAGCUAUGAUGCUCCAAAACUUCAUGAUUGAAACAUUAUUUAUAGUCCAGUCAACGAAAAACAUGCACUCGGACUAAUUGCAACAAAAUCUUUAUCUAUACCGCACAAAAGUAUAUUGUCUAAAUGUCCUAUACAAAAAAGUUGCAUAUUGUACUCAUUGGCAAAACAAAAUAAAUUAGAUUUUGAAAAUUUAUAUUUUCGUGUUUUCCUAUGACAGCCGCGGCGUGCCAUAGUCAGUACUCUUCAGAGCUGGAGGUUAAAUGACGUCAUAAAGUUAAUGGCGGAGUCUAUUUGAAAUGAAAAAUAAGUUCAUAAAAUAUUCUAUCUAUACGAUUUACCGCUAAUUCAUGUAGGGUAAGUCAAAUUUAUGUUUAUUUUUCGAAAAAUUAGAAGUUAAUUUUGUAAAUAGCGAUCUUUCUGUAUGCACAUCUUUUUGUAAAUGCUAUUCUCAAGACCGAACUUCUGAUAAAAGAAAUAUGCAUAUUUCAGUAAACAAAAUGUAUUAAGCUGUUUGCAAUUACUAUGCAUUGAAGUUAGCAAGCAUAAUGUCUGAUAAAUAAACGACAUUGGGUUACAUAUUUGAGAAAAAAAGUUUCUUUGGGGGCACUCUCGUUCAUUUAUUUUUUAAGUAUGGAACGCCGUUCCCGUCAUAAUAUAUGAAAAUGUCAUCAUAAACAAAACAUGUGCGUAUGUGCAUGUUUUGACUUCAGAUUUUUUGUUCAUGAGCAAUGUUCAUACUUGUAUGCGUGUAGAAUGUUAAAAUUAAAUGAUUUACUUAAACAUUGCUGUUGUUUCGUUGUAGCUGAAGAAUUAAUAAAGCGCCAACACAGCAUAUCUUCAUUAGAAAAAACAUUUAUAUAGCGCCAACACAGCAUAUCUUCAUCAGAAGAAACAAUGGUUUAAUAUCAUAUUCAGUAGUCGUGUUCUGGAUAGAAGUAGACAACCAACUUAACAGUUCCACCAGCAAUAGUGAAUAUAAAGCAGACGAACUGAGUAAAUGUAGAGUCACAAUGACCCAUAACCAUCGCAACUUAGUAUAGUGUGAAAGGUAUGUAUAUUUGAGCCCUGGAAUAUUCUAACACUUAUUACUCACUUAUUACACACUAUUUAGAAAAUGUAAUAUGAAGAAUGAAUGUAGCAUUGUUAUAUUUUCGCAUAUUUGUAAAUGUUGUUCACCGGUCUUUUUCUUAAAACUGAAUGCUUCCAACAAAAAAUAUUCGAAAGUCAAACUUGAGGAAAAUAUACUAAAAUUCUAAGAGGCAUGCUGUUUAAAUUGUACAUUUUUACGAAGUAAUUAAAUAAAUCUUUCAGUUACAUGUAUGAAUGAACAUUGAACCUCAAGUUAUGAUGAGAAAUUUCCACAACAAUAUUCAUAUUUGUUUGCAUUUUUCACGUGAAUAAAUCUUCUUACUUUUACCAGUCCAUUUACUGUCUAUAAAACAUACCAUAUGAAAUGAAAUAGUGCAUGAACAUAUUGUUC